UCAACUUUUCCUGUGAACAAGCCUGUCCCCAGAUGAGUCCCGAGGAUUUUGGGCUCCAUGCAGGCUGGCACUGUGUCCCAGGGCACUUGUGGGAACACGCGUGUGAUUUCACCGACGAGGAGACAGCUCUGCCACAGGAUUUGCAGGAGGGAUAUUCUGCAUUUGGUCAGGAGAGACAGCAGGGUUCGGUGUGUUUUUAUUCUCAUGGGCCACGCACCACCAACCCAGAGUUUUCUCCCCUCUCAUGAUUUAGGUUGGUUUAUUAAUCCUUGGUGAAGCUUUUAUUUAUUUGUUUGGUUGGUUUUUUUUGUCAGACUAAAGGUGAGAGUGCCGGAGAAGCCAGGCUGAACAUGUGACAUUCCUGGUUUGAUGUGACUGGCAACACGGACCAUAUCACCCAGUCCAUCUCCUUUCAUGACUUUUCUUGGCUACGUCUCCACAGACAGCCUAGAAACAGAGAGGAAGGCAAGGAAACGGCAUCGUCAGAAUGACCUGGGAGGGAUUAGGAGGCGAUUAUUGAUGAAGGCAUCCACGACACCAGGACAGGUCUGUGGAGAAUUUCCCAAGGUGCUCCAAGGCUACCUUCUCUGUCCGAAGAAGUGGAUGCAGCUGAACAACUGCUCCUCUACUUCUGCUGCCUCAGUUUUUCAGACACCCAACUGAGAUGUCCUGAAGGACCCGAUUUACCAGCUGAAAAUCCCGUACCUGAAAAUCAGAGGUUUUAAAGCACAUCAAAGAUGCGAGCCCCAAGAUCUGGAUCAUAAAACAUUCUGG